rnacentral:rRNA from 1 species
GUGGGGAAUAUUGGUCAAUGGGCGCAAGCCUGAACCAGCCAUGCCGCGUGAAGGAAUAAGGCCCUAUGGGUCGUAAACUUCUUUUGUGGUGGAGCAAUAAGGUGCACGUGUGCAUCGAUGAGAGUACAUCACGAAUAAGCAUCGGCUAACUCCGUGCCAGCAGCCGCGGUAAUACGGAGGAUGCAAGCGUUAUCCGGAUUUAUUGGGUUUAAAGGGUGCGUAGGCUGUUCGACAAGUCAGGGGUGAAAGCCCAGUGCCUAACACUGGAACUGCCUUUGAUACUGCCGAGCUGGAAUACGGAUGCCGUGGGAGGAAUGAGUAGUGUAGCGGUGAAAUGCAUAGAUAUUACUCAGAACACCGAUUGCGAAGGCAUCUCACGAAUCCGUCAUUGACGCUGAGGCACGAAAGCGUGGGGAUCAAACAGG